GAUCUGAUUGGUGCAGUGGGUAUGCCCCGGAUCGGUGACAUGGCAUCCUGGACGCUUCUCUCUCCCCUCCUUAUCUCCUCAACUGAUCAACCCUCUCUCUCCCUCAUCUCCUCUCCCUCACGAUCCUCUUCUGUCCAGAAUCUCUCCUCUCCUCUCUCCCACGAUCUCCCUGCUGCAGCCUCCAUGCACAGCUCUCUCUCCUCUCUCUACUCCCCCUGCCUCCCACUACUCCCACACCUCCCUCUGCUCUCGUGCGCCAUGGCCUCCGUGCCCCGCGCCCACCCGCAUGUCCGCGCUUCCCAGCCCCAUGGACGGGCCUGAUCCGGCCGCCAUGGGCCCGUCGCCGCCGGAUCCGGGCGUCCUUGGCCCCGUCUCCACCGGAUCCGGCCGCCGUUGGGUCUGUCUCCACCCGAUCCAAGCGCCCCUCGGCUUCGCUGCGCGCCGCCGGAACCUAGGCAAGUUCUUUUCUUUUUCUCGGUUUUGCUAUUUCAUUCUCUCACUGUCUCUCUCUCUCUCUGGUGGCCGACCUGCUCCCGGGAGGAAAUGGCAGCGGCCGCCAAGUACAGCUUCGGCCUCGACCCUGGCCUCUCCACCGGUGGAUUUGUUUCUCAAUAAAUAUUCUUUGUAAUCGUUGUGUGUGCUCUGUAAUGCUCCAGAUUUGUUUCUCAAUAAAUAUGCUUUGUAAUCGAAUGUGAAUUUGUUUCUGUGUAUAUGCUCCGCCAUCGUGGCAGCGCAGGUCGUGUGGCCUGCCUUUUUUUUAAUUUGACAAAUUCGUACCAGUGGCGGUGGUUCUGCCCAGCCACUGGAGGAGGCUAGCAGCAGUGGCGGUGGUUUUGCACCCCCACAGGGGGAGGGGGCUAGCAGCAGUGGCGGUGGACAUAGCACCAGUGGCGCAGGUUUAGUGGCGGGCCGGUCCACCGCCACCGGUGCUGAAUUCAGCCCGCCACCGGUAACCAAUUCCGUAGCAGUGCUACAACAGAAUUGAGCUCUAUUGUAAGGUAGGUUAGUUUUGUAUCCAUUCCUCUGAAGUAGCAGAUCUUCACUUGGAUGUGUUUCAAGGGGACAAUUCAGGUUACCGAUGAGCUGCUAAAGAAAUGCUGGUAAGGACCUGAAGGUUGCAGACUCUGGUCAGCCUGAAACUACGGAUCAUAUGCUUUUUACUUGCCCAAUCGCCUUCUUUUGUUGAUGCCAUAUUUGGGAUUGUUUCGGCUGGAGCCGGGCUCUCCUCUUUCUUGGUCUGAUUUCUUUGACAUUGCUUUGAAACUGGGAGGGACAAUUGUGAAUCAUAAAAUGUGGUCGCUGGCGACUGCUGUUGCUUGGUCAUUAUGGCUUACUGGCAACGAAAUGGUCUUCAAUCAGCAUCUGUGUGAUUCUCAUGCAGGUCAUCUUCAAGGCUGUGGCGUUCUUGGGACACCGGAAGAAUCUUCUACCUAAUAGGCGGCAAAUGGUAACUCUGAAUUUGAUUGCCAAACUUCAAACAAACUUGUGGUAUGCAUUGUGAUGUAAGCUGGUCUCCCAAGCAGAAUCUUGUUGGCUUUCUAAUAAAGUCGGGCUGAAAAGCCUCCUUUCCAAAAAACGGGCUUUUUUCGCCCGUGAUUGAUGACUCUCAUCAGUAACGGUCAUACAUCGACCGUCACUAAUGACACUACAUCGUGCCGGACGCGUGCGAGACCGUCAGUGAUGACCGCUUAUCAGUGAGGGUUACUUAUCAGUGAUGGGCGUGGUAUGCUCGUCACUAAUGUCGUCCGUUGCACCAGUGGCAUCCGGGGUAUCACCAUUGCUCAACGCAUAGGUUGCCUCGCUUGCUCCCCGCAAGGACGGCACCUUAUGCAGCACAGUGCGAGUUGCCCGGGAAGCCACCAGCCCGGCAGGUGUCUGGGAAAGGGGUUGCCUUGGAGCAGGACUAGCCGGGCUGCGGAGGUUACCCUGGAUGACAGUGUGAAGAUCCCCUUCAGGACGCCUCCCAGGAAGCUUACUUGUCGGGGAGGGUGUCUCCUGACGCAGACGCUUACAACAGGGCUGAUGCCCACGGCAGACAGAGUAUCGAUGCCACGUGGCCACCCGGCAGGCUCCUUUUGUGCAGAGCUGGUCGGAGUGUGGAGUGUGGCACAAGCCGAGCAUUAAAUGCUCCGACAGGGAAGUGGUUUUCUGUCUAGUCAACCCACAGUGAGUAGCUCGCAGUGAAUCUAGGGCACGUAUCGCCCUAGCUACAGUGUUUUGUAUUGUGCAUGCAUGCCAGCGCAGCAAAGGCAAACUGCCUAGGGUCUUUGUUCGGCGCGUGUCCAAAAGCGCGUCCCCCAUGCAGACGGAGGCACCUGUGGUAUCCCCUUGAGUAUAAAAGGAGGACCAGCGUCACCGGUCAAAGGGUUUCGGUUUUUCUAAGGUUGGACUCUAGCUGGGUGACGAUCCCUAGAGAUUUAGUCCAGAAGCAGUAAGUAGCCAUUUGGCCGAAAGGAAGAGAGUGCCCGGGGACUCCCCCGGCAACCUGUAAACACUUGUUCAUUGGCUAAUACACACUCAGAAGCAGGACGUAGAGUUUUA